rnacentral:rRNA from 1 species
GACGAACGCUGGCGGCGUGCCUAAUACAUGCAAGUCGAGCGAAGCGGCGGAUGGGUGAGUAACGCGUGGGUAACCUUCCCUUAAGUCUGGGAUACCAUUUGAUAACAGAUGCUAAGCCCAGAUAAUAAAUGAUGGACCUGCGAUGCAUUGGCUAGUGGGUACGGUAACGGCUUACCAAGGCGAUGAGGCAUAGGCGAGUUGAGAGACUGAUAGGGCACAUUGGGACUGAGACACGGCCCAAACUCCAACGGGAGGCAGCAGUAGGGAAUCUUCCACAAUGGACGAAAGUCUGAUGGAGCCACGCCGCGUGAGGGAAGAAGGUUUUCGGAUCGUAAAGCUCUGUUGUUUGUGAAGCGGUAAUCAACCAGAAAGUAACGGCUAACUACGUGCCAGCAGCCGCGGUAAUAC